rnacentral:rRNA from 1 species
AGAGUUUGAUCAUGGCUCAGGAUGAACGCUAGCGGGAGGCCUAACACAUGCAAGCCGAGCGGUAUUGUUUCUUCGGAAACGAGAGAGCGGCGCACGGGUGCGGAACACGUGUGCAACCUGCCUUUAUCUGGGGGAUAGCCUUUCGAAAGGAAGAUUAAUACCCCAUAAUAUUUUGGAUGGCAUCAUUUAAAAUUGAAAACUCCGGUGGAUAGAGAUGGGCACGCGCAAGGUUAGAUAGUUGGUAGGGUAACGGCCUACCAAGUCAGUGAUCUUUAGGGGGCCUGAGAGGGUGACCCCCCACACUGGUACUGAGACACGGACCAGACUCCUACGGGAGGCAGCAGUGAGGAAUAUUGGACAAUGGGUGAGAGCCUGAUCCAGCCAUCCCGCGUGAAGGACGACGGCCCUAUGGGUUGUAAACUUCUUUUGUACAGGGAUAAACCUUUCCACGUGUGGAAAGCUGAAGGUACUGUACGAAUAAGCACCGGCUAACUCCGUGCCAGCAGCCGCGGUAAUACGGAGGGUGCAAGCGUUAUCCGGAUUUAUUGGGUUUAAAGGGUCCGUAGGCGGAUCCGUAAGUCAGUGGUGAAAUCUCAUAGCUUAACUAUGAAACUGCCAUUGAUACUGCGGGUCUUGAGUAAGGUAGAAGUAGCUGGAAUAAGUAGUGUAGCGGUGAAAUGCAUAGAUAUUACUUAGAACA